rnacentral:rRNA from 1 species
UCGAGAAUCUUCCGCAAUGGGCGAAAGCCUGACGGAGCGACACCGCGUGCAGGAUGAAGGCCUUCGGGUUGUAAACUGCUGUCACGUUUUAGGAACGAACGGGCGUUAAUAGCGCUCGGACUGACCAAGGCGAGAGGAAGCACCGGCUAACUCUGUGCCAGCAGCCGCGGUAAGACAGAGGGUGCAAACGUUGUUCGGAAUUACUGGGCAUAAAGAGCACGUAGGUGGUGCGCUAAGUCACGUGUGAAAUCCCCCGGCUCAACCGGGGAAUUGCGCGUGAUACUGGCGGACUCGAGGCGGGUAGGGGUGAGCGGAACUCCAGGUGGAGCGGUGAAAUGCGUAGAUAUCUGGAGGAACACCGGUGGCGAAAGCGGCUCACUGGACCUGAUCUGACACUGAGGUGCGAAAGCUAGGGUAGCAAACGGGAUUAGAUACCCCCGUAGUCC